ACAUUUACAUGCACUGAAACAUCCAAGGAUCAGGCUUAAAAUAAUAAACAUUCAAGUACCCUAUCAUGAACUAUUAAAUGCAACAAGAAUGCGGACACACUUCGCUGAACCUUGAAAAUUCUGUAAGCCACUUGCUAGAUUCAAUCAAAGCAUUAGAAAAUAGGACAACCAGUGCUGCUAAAACCACCAUCAAAAUAGAAAUGCAAAAUGAGUAAAUAGAAAUGCAAAAUGGGUAGAACAGGGGCAAGAUAAAAUGAAGCAGCCAUUAUUGCACAACCAGACCAUUCAAAUCG
rnacentral:misc_RNA from 1 species